UUGCGUUGAAGGAUAAUCAGCUGCUGAACUGAACGUUGUAAAGGACUUUCAAAAGAGCAUCUGGUUGCCUCGAGACACAUGGCCUGAAUCUCGGCGGCUUUGGUCGCGUGUACUCACUACUCUCACGCAAGGCUCCAAAAGGGCAGUAGCACAAACACUGGGCAUCGGUUUUGCUACCGUUGCUAUGAAAUGGAAUCCGAGGUCCAGCCUUCAAGUCCUGCCCGUCUUCAGUACUAGUACUCCACUAGUAUACAGAAUUCAGCGGUUUCAAGUUUCAACUAGUCUUGACGCGUGGUACUGCUGCUGCUCCGGCACAAGACGUAGUACUGUCAAAUCUGCAGGUACAUUGUUAACGAGGAGGAGAUUUUGGAUUUACAAUUGGUCAUGAUGAUCAAUCCUGAAGACAGUAAGGAUUGCAAGAGUUGAAGAUUGAUCGAGCAAAGCUUUUGCGGUUCCCCAAAACAUGCUGUUCUUCUCGCCUUUAUACCUCGCCCAAAUGGAGCUCUAGUCCUAAUUGCGGUCGGCUAAUUGGGAGUAGCGGUAGCACUGAAAAAUCUCCUUUACCACCAAUGCAUAAUUUGCGAACAUGCUGCUUGUUGGCAGUCUGGCUGGCAGGUGUGGCUACUCAAAUGUGCCUGGUCUACUGAUAGUUGAAAUGAAGUGGCUGACUCAUCUUCAUCAUGUGCUGUGUUUUUAGCUCUGUGUUUGAUGGAAACCGAAAUAACUCGCAUGUCUCCUCUGCCCUUUGUCA